rnacentral:rRNA from 1 species
AUUGAACGCUGGCGGCAUGCUUUACACAUGCGAGUCGAACGGCAACAGGCGUGUGGGUGCUGACGAGUGGUGGACGGGGGAGUAAUGGAGAGGAACGUAUCCAGAGGCGGGGGAUAACGAAGCGAAAGCUGUGCUAAUACCGCAUGAGAUCUGAGGAUGAAAGAGGGGGAGCGAGCAGAAAUGUUGGGACUCGCGCCUUUGGAGCGGGCGAUGUCGGAUUAGCUAGUUGGCGGGGUAAAGGCCUACCAAGGCGACGAACCGUAGCUGGUCUGAGAGGAGGGCAAGCCACACUGGAACUGAGCCACGGCCCAGACCCCUACGGUAGGCAGCAGUGGGGAGUUUUAUACAAUGCGCUCAAGCUUGGUCCGGCAAUGCCGCGUGCGGGACGAAGGCCUUCGGGUUUUAAACCUCUUUUGGCAUGAACGAAACAUUGUCCGCUAAUCCCGUGCGCUUUUGACGGUACCUACUGAAUAAGCACCGGCUAACUACGUG